AAUUCUAUCACAAAUAUUGUCUGAUAAAAUUGGAACGAUACAGAGAAGAUUAGCGUGAUCCUUGCACAAGGACGACAAUGUUCAAGGAGUUUUUCAUGUUUAC
rfam:Solanum lycopersicum cultivar Heinz 1706 chromosome 11, whole genome shotgun sequence.